rnacentral:tRNA from 1 species
ACGAGGUGGUGCGGCGGCACGAGUCGCUGCGGACGACGUUCGACGCGGUGGACGGUCGCGUCGUCCAGCACGUGC